rnacentral:lncRNA from 1 species
CUUCUUCUUCUUCUUCUUCUUCUCCCUUCUUGUCACCCUCUCCCAUGCCGCCACCUUCGAGAUCGUGAACCGAUGCUCUUACACAGUGUGGGCCGCGGCCGUGCCUGGCGGCGGACGCCAGCUCAACCAGGGGCAGUCGUGGACCAUCAACGUGAACGCGGGAACCACCGGCGGCCGCAUCUGGGGCCGCACCGGCUGCUCCUUCGACGGGAGCGGACGCGGGCGGUGCCAGACGGGCGACUGCGGCGGCGUGCUGUCAUGCACGGCGUACGGCAGCCCGCCCAACACCCUGGCGGAGUUCGCGCUCAACCAGUUCAACAACCUCGACUUCUUCGACAUCUCCCUGGUCGACGGCUUCAACGUGCCAAUGGACUUCAGCCCCACGUCAGGCGGCUGCCGCGGCAUCCGGUGCGCGGCGGACAUCAACGGGCAGUGCCCCGGGGCGCUGAAGGCGCCGGGCGGCUGCAACAACCCCUGCACCGUGUUCAAGACGGACCAGUACUGUUGCAACUCCGGCAGCUGCAGCCCGACCGACUACUCCCGGUUCUUCAAGAGAAACUGCCCCGACGCCUACAGCUAUCCCAAGGACGAUCAGACGAGCACCUUCACCUGCCCCGGCGGCACCAACUACAGGGUUGUCUUCUGCCCUUGAGAUCACUGACGCCACUAAUAAGCCGCCCUCGUGCAGGCAACCACGCAUAUAGAUAUAUAUACUAGUCUCCUACAAUACAAAUAAGAUGUCAAGAGUGAUGGAAGGUAUUAGCCUUCUCUUGGGCUAAUACUGUUGACUGAUGUAAUAGAAGUGGUGCAACCAACUAAUAAGAUGCAUAAUAUCAUCACAGCAUGAGUGCUUUUCCAUUGAUGUUUGAAUCAUUUUGUGAGAGCAAUCAGCUUAUGCAAUCAGCAAAAAGAAUAAUUAAACCAUUUCUAUUUAUGUCUUGUUGGCUUAAAACAUGAAUUGAUUUUGAAACAUAAUGAACCCUACAUAUAUAACUUCAUAAAAGAUAUCUCAAGGACCAUACAUUAUACAUACAUAUAUACAUAUAUAUACAUAUAUAUACACAUAUAUAUAUACAUAUAUAUACACAUAUAUAUACAUAUAUAUAUAUAUACAUAUACAUAUAUAUAUAUAUAUNNNNNNNNNNNNNNNNNNNNUAUGUAUAUAUAUAUAUGUAUAUAUAUAUAUAUCAUUUAGGAUGAUGAGUCAUCGCCUAUCCAAUUUGGACCUCUGCCAUUCUCCGUAGAAACUUUGCGUAGCCAUUUUCCAAUACAAUUGCGCGUUGACCAGAGUGCGUCCAUGUGAUCCUCCCCGGUAAGUUUGGUGCCCGAAAUUAUCCGGCAAGUAUGGCUUUAAAUAUUGGAAUUAGUUGCUCUUUGUUUUACGUAGGCCGAUCAAGAUGAACAGAGAGAAUGAUGCUGACUAAUUGAGCCCUGACCAAUCGAGGGCUUCAGGACUCGAGCCCCGACGCGCCCUCGGGAAGCUGCCGCGGGAGGCGGACAUCGAUGGGCAGUGCCCGCAGGUGUUGAGGGCGCCGCGGCGGGUGCACCGCUCGACCGUGUCCAAGGCGGACCGGUACUGCUGCAGCUCCUGCAACUGUGCGUCAAGCGGCUACUUCAGCUUCUUGAGGAGGAACUGCACCGAUGGCUAUAUCUUCCCACAACCUUACGGCCUGGCUUCCACCACUAGUUUCUACGGUAGUCUUCCUCCUCCAAGAGUCGAAUUCAGCUUCCUACAAGAUUAUAAUGAUGGUUUGUAUCAAUUAGUUGUUAAAUUGUAUUUUGGAACCUAAUACAUAUUUUAAAUAUAAAUUCAUAUUUAAAGUUUCUUUAACAUCACAUUUGUCAUGAAUAUAGUGUCAGUAAAUGCUUAAAUUCUGAAACUAUCUUAGAAUAAUUAUAACAUCUCGAGUAAUCUCACAUAAAAAAUGAAUAAGAUUAAAAUUAACUUAUGAUAGUAUAUUACUAUCAAUAUUAAUUUGAAUAUUUUGAUUGCUUGGAUUCAAGAAAAUUGAUAAGUCAAUUAGUUAAUCAAUUGUGACAUUCGAUAUCAAAUUAGUAUUAGGAUAUAGUAUAAUCAAAUUACUAUUAGCGUAUCGUGAGUGAGCUUCGUACUCGUUCAUUGUGAAGUCAUCUUGGGCUAUGUCUUACAUGCCGCGCUAUAUUGAGUCUUUGACAAUGAUUAAUUUUUUUUUUAUAGUUCACACAUAAAAAUAGAUUUUGAACUAUUUAAUUUUAAAAAUCAUAUUAUUUAUUAUAAAAUAUAUUUAUUAAAAUUUAAUUAACUAAUAAAAUUAUUAACUUAUUCACAUAAUUAAGAAAAUCAAUUUUAAUCAUUUUCUUAGCCAUACUAUACAAACAAAAUCACAAUGUAUAUAUUUUUCUUAAAUUUUUAUCUUAAAUGCAUGUUGCUAAUUAUAAUACUUGAUUUAUAUUUAGAUUUAUAUGAUAGUUGAUUAAAAAUAUUAUUUCUUCUCUUAUGUAAUUUUAUCUUUUUAAUAAUCUAUUGUUUAUUAUAUUUUAAUGACUCAAUGCUUGGGAUUAGAUGUUUUUUACUAUAAUUUCAUAAUGCUAUAAUUUAGAAUUGAAGAAAUUGAUUAGGAUUUGGGUUAUAUCUCACACGUACAAUCUUAGAGUUUGAGUUGGGUUUUAAUAAGGAUCAUUUAUUUUUUAUAUAAUAUUUAUUUCCUAUGAUUCACACAUAAAAAUAAAAUUUAAAUUAUUUACUUUCUAAAAAUUGCAUCACUCGUUGAGAAACGAAUCAAUUAAUAAUUUAAUUAAUUUAGUAAUCAUAUUACAUAAAUAAAAUCAUAAUGUGUAGUAUUUUAAAAUUUUUUAUCUUACAUGCAUGAUGCACGAUGAUAAUUAUAAUCCUUGGUUUCUAUUAUAUUUAUAUAGUAAUUUAUUAAAAAUAUUAUUUUCUCACUAAUGUAAUUUUAUUUUAAAAUUUAUUACUAUUUAUUAUGUUUUUAAUGACUCAAUACUAAUGAUCAGAUAUUCUAAUUAGUAGUCAUAUUAGUAAUCAUUAAGAAAUUUAAUUUAAAUUAUUUCAGUAAUAAUAUUACAUAAAUAAAAUCAUAAUGUGUAGUAUUUUUAAAAUUGUUAUCUUACAUGCAUGAUGCAUGAUGAUAAUUAUAAUACUUGGUUUCUAUUAGAUUUAUAUAAUAAUUUAUUAAAAUAUUAUUUUCUCACUUAUGUAAUUUUAGUUUUAAAAUUUAUUACUAUUUAUUAUGUUUUUAGUGACUCAAUACUAAUGAUCAGAUAUUCUAAUUAUAUUUUUUAUAUUUUAAAAUUAAGAGAAUUGAUUAAGAUUUAAGUUGAAAUCAACAAACAAUUAGAGCUAACCCAUAGGCUAGCCACAACUCGUAGAUUAAGCUCAGCAAGCAAGUCAACCCAUAGCCUAUAGGACUCCAAUAUGAUCAGUUAUGUAAUGUACAGACCAAGUCAGAUUUCAUAAACUUAGAUAGAUUCAAGGUAAUUCUAAACUUAUUUAGUCUAUUCAUGUCUAUCUAAUCUAAAUCGAACUCAAUCUAGUCCAAAGUAUACAAGUCUAAGAUGAUUCUAGACUGAUUAAAUGAGAAUUAAAAAUCGAUUUUAUUAUACUAGAGUUAAAUCGAGUUCAAUUGAUUUUAAUUAAACUCGUUUAGAUCGAUUAAGUUCUAGUUAAAUCAGGUUCAAUUAGACCGAUUGAGUUAAGUUAGAUAAAACCUAGGGAUAUGAGUUAUAAAUAAUAUUCAUCAAAUUUCUUCAAUCUAAUUUAUGCUAAAAUAGUUCAAUAAUAAAAAAUAAUAACUGCAAUAAUUAUUGAAUGUUAAUCAGUAUAAUGAAAAAUUCAUAUAAUAACUAUAAUUAUGAUAAGUCAUGAAUUAUAUUUUUAUAUAAUUUUCAAACAUAUUAUAUAAAUAAUCAAAUAAAUAUCCAAGAAAAAUAAUUAGAUUUUUAUUUAUCACAUGCAAAAUUUUAUCAAUAUGACAAAUAAGAAAAUUAUUAAAGAAAAAUCAUAAUUUAUAUUUUUAAAAUUUUGUAUGAACCCUUAUACCAAUCAACCCUAUUUAAUUAGGUAAGCCCAUAAUUGGACUACCUAAAUUGGGCUAACAAUUUGCCUAAUUAGACCCAUUAAGAUUAAAGUUGAUCAAAAUAAAAAAAAGAUCAAAAAUAACUUUUUUUUAAUUUGAUCAAAAACUUAAUUGGUCGAAUUUAAAUCCAACCAAAUAGUUAAAAUAUAGUAAUGAUUAAGCUCGUUUAAAAGAUUUGAUUAAAAUAAAUCAAAUUAAUAAAUUUUAUAAUUGAGGGCAUAUCUCAAAAUAUUUUAAUUCAAAAGGGUAAAACUAUAAUUUUACUGGGAUAUGUAGAGAAAAUAUCUAAUUUCUGAAGAAUAUAAUUAUCAAAAGGACACAAGUUGAAAUUAAAAGACUUUAUAAGAAUAAAUUUAUAAUUUUAAAAAUAAAUCCUAAUCUUUCACCCAGAAAGGCUCUCUCGCAUUUGUCAUUGGUUCCACCAUGCCCACACGCAAAAGUCAACACCGCAGUGUUCGCCCACCACCUGCAUGGACAACGAGGCAGUUGUCCUUAUGCAUUCAAACGAUAACCUCAUCGGUCGUCGCGUUGUGCCAUGCUCAUGAGUGGCUAUUAUCAUCGUGCGCUUGACUAUAACACUUCAAAAACAAUAUGUAUGUCACUGACCGGAAGCUAUCGCGUAGUUACGCACACAUGCCGAUCGAUAACCCCCAGAAUCACUUUGAUGUGUGACUGUGCUCGCUUGUCUUGCUACAUAGUCGUUGGGAACAAUGGCUUUCAGUGUCCAAUCGAUGUUGACCAUGGCCAACAAGCACUACCACAGUGGUAUUACUGUAACCAUUGUACGUAGUGAAGCUAUAUAGCCACUAUAGGUGCAUGCGCACAUAGUGGCACUGUUACAAUCAUCGCACUUAGUAUUAUACCCCAUGGUGCUUCCAUUAGGUACGCAAUUGCUACUCGCGAUUGAACUAAUGACAAUCAAAAGUUGUCGCUCUUAACCAUAUUGUUAUCGACAAUAAGCUAGUCACAGUGAUCCAUUGAUCAAGUACGAGAAAAUUCAUAUCUCCCACAAAUAGGUGAUAAGAUCGAUUAAAUAGAAAAAUAGAUCAAUAAUAUAUAUGAAUCAUUCAUACAUCGUAAAUAAAAAAUUGAAUAACACUUUUUCAUAAGCCAAAGAUGCUAACAAAUAUAUCUAAAAUAAUUUAUUUUACAAACAUGACUCUGAUAUCAAUUGUAAGUAUAAAAACCAUCCUUAUGCUAUUGUUAUGCAGAAAACUUUAACACCAAAAUCUAAAAUCAAAUAAUAAUAGAUAAGAUUCAUGAUACGUACAUUUUGAUGCUAGUUAAAAAAGCUCUUAUAUGAUCUAUAGGUACACCAUCGUUGGAUCUGAAAGUUAUAGUAAUAUCGAUCUAUAAGAAGAAUUAGACUCAUCGUUUUCUCAUUUUCUAUCCUUUAUAGGACCACUACAAUGGAUUUAGAGACUAAGGGGAGAUGAGAGAAGAUUUAUAAUUUCUCACUGACUUAUUCACAAAAAUUUAUAAUUUUUUAAUAAUAUUUUGUAAACACGUAUCGUUUUUAUCUUCUUAUAGUAUUUCUAGGUGAGAAUAGAAAAUCUAUGAUAAGUAAUGAAUAGGGUCUUUCUAAUCAAAAUCUAUCUCUUAACGAAUUUUAUGAUAAUUUAAUUUUUUAUCAAUCUAUAAUCAUAAUUAAAAUUUAAUCAUAUCUAUAAUAUAUCUUAAAUAAAUAAUUAGUGAUAUAUAAUCUGACACCUCUCUCUUCUCUCCCUUAUAAAUUCCCCACCUCUCCACCCCUCGGAUCUGCACAACACAGAGCACGAAGCCUAAGACUCGCCGUUAGAUGGCUUCGUCAAGCAUUCUCUCCCUCUCCUUCUUCUCCCUUCUUGUCACCCUCUCCCAUGCCGCCAACUUCGAGAUCGUGAACCGAUGCUCUUACACAGUGUGGGCCGCGGCCGUGCCCGGCGGCGGACGCCAGCUCAACCAGGGGCAGUCGUGGACCAUCAACGUGAAAGCGGGAACGACCGGCGGCCGCAUCUGGGGCCGCACAGGCUGCUCCUUCGACGGGAGCGGCCACGGGCGGUGCCAGACGGGCGACUGCGGCGGGUUGCUGGCGUGCACGGCGUACGGUAGC